AGGACGAACGCUGGCGGCGUGCUUAACACAUGCAAGUCACGGGGGCCCGCAAGGGUAACCGGCGAACGGGUGCGUAACACGUGAGCAACCUGCCUAGAUGUGGGGGAUAGCCGGCCCAACGGCCGGGUAAUACCGCAUACGGUCACGAGGAGGAGUCUCCUUGUGAAGAAACCUCCGGGGCAUUUAGAGGGGCUCGCGGCCUAUCAGCUAGUUGGCGGGGUAAUGGCCCACCAAGGCUUCGACGGGUAGCUGGUCUGAGAGGAUGGCCAGCCACAUUGGGACUGAGAGACGGCCCAGACUCCUACGGGAGGCAGCAGUGGGGAAUCUUGCGCAAUGGCCGAAAGGCUGACGCAGCGACGCCGCGUGUGGGAGGACGCCCUUCGGGGUGUAAACCUCUUUCAGUAUCGACGAAGCGCAAGUGACGGUAGGUACAGAAGAAGGACCGGCCAACUACGUGCCAGCAGCCGC
rnacentral:rRNA from 1 species